rnacentral:misc_RNA from 1 species
GUGAGUCAUCGAAUCUUUGAACGCACAUUGCGCCCGCCAGUAUUCUGGCGGGCAUGCCUGUCCGAGCGUCAUUUCAACCCUCAAGCCCCCGGGCUUGGUGUUGGAGAUCGGCGUGCCCCCCCGGGGCGCGCCGGCUCCCAAAUAUAGUGGCGGUCUCGCUGUAGCUUCCUCUGCGUAGUAGCACACCUCGCACUGGAAAACAGCGUGGCCACGCCGUUAAACCCCCCACUUCUGAAAGGUUGACCUCGGAUCAGGUAGGAAUACCCGCUGAACUUAAGCAUAUCAAUAAGCGGAGGA